GUAGGGUGCAAGCGUUAAUCGGAAUUACUGGGCGUAAAGCGUGCGCAGGCGGCUUUGCAAGACAGAUGUGAAAUCCCCGGGCUCAACCUGGGAACUGCAUUUGUGACUGCAAGGCUAGAGUACGGUAGAGGGGGAUGGAAUUCCGCGUGUAGCAGUGAAAUGCGUAGAUAUGCGGAGGAACACCGAUGGCGAAGGCAAUCCCCUGGACCUGUACUGACGCUCAUGCACGAAAGCGUGGGGAGCAAACAGGAUUAGAUACCCUGGUAGUCCACGCCCUAAACGAUGUCAACUGGUUGUUGGACGGCUUGCUGUUCGGUAACGAAGCUAACGCGUGAAGUUGACCGCCUGGGGAGUACGGCCGCAAGGUUG
rnacentral:rRNA from 1 species